rnacentral:rRNA from 1 species
GACGAACGCUGGCGGCGUGGAUUAGGCAUGCAAGUCGAACGGUAUCAUCCUUUCGGGGGUGAGAGAGUGGCGAACUGGUGAGUAACACGUAGGUUAUCUACCCUCAAGACGGGGACAACCCAGGGAAACUUGGGCUAAUACCGGAUGUGAGCAACUUUUAGUUGUUUGAAAGGUGGCGUAAGCUGUCGCUUGGGGAUGAGCCUGCGUCCUAUUAGUUAGUUGGUGAGGUAACGGCUCACCUAGGCAAUGAUAGGUAGGCGGCCUUAACGGGUGGUCGCCCACACUGGGAUUGAGAUACGGCCCAGACUCCUACGGGAGGCAGCAGUCGAGAAUAGUCUACAAUGGUCGGAAGACUGAUAGUGCGACGCCGCGUGAACGAUGAAUCCCUUCGGGGUGUAAAGUUCUUUUAUAUGUGAGCAGUGCUUCUUAUAUUAACAGUAUGGGGAGAGAGAUAUUAGCAUAUGAAUAAGCAACGGCUAACUCCGUGCCAGCAGCCGCGGUAAACAUA